rnacentral:rRNA from 1 species
GACGAACGCUGGCGGCGUGCCUAACACAUGCAAGUCGAGCGGGGGGAGUACUUCGGUACAAACCUAGCGGCGGACGGGUGAGUAACACGUGGGUAACCUGCCUCAAAGUGGGGGAUAGCCUUCCGAAAGGAAGAUUAAUACCGCAUAACCCAUAGCUUCCGCAUGGAAGCAAUGGUAAAGAUUUAUCGCUUUGAGAUGGACCCGCGGCGCAUUAGCUAGUUGGUGAGGUAACGGCUCACCAAGGCCACGAUGCGUAGCCGACCUGAGAGGGUGAUCGGCCGCUUUGGAACUGAGACGCGGUCCAGACUCCUACGGGGGGCCGCAGUGGUGAAUAUGGCACAAUGGGCGAAAGCCUCAUGCAGCAACGCCGCGUGAGUGAUGAGGGCCUUCGGGUUGUAAAGCUCUGUCUUUUGGGACAAUAAUGACGGUACCAAAGGAGGAAGCCACGGCUAACUACGUGCCAGCCGCCGCCGUAACAC